rnacentral:lncRNA from 1 species
ACACUUCCUUCUUCUCUCUGCGCUUGUCUUGCCUGAGCAAGAACACGUGUGUCUGGCUUUACCCUUGCGGCUAAUGAAUGAAUCAGAAGGUUCUGCCUUCAGCUGAGCAGGCCCCCUGCACACGCCCCACAGUCAGCAUCGCAGGAUGUGUUCAUCGAGUCACCAAGAAUAACUGCAGCUCCUCUUUGCUAACUGUCGUGGUCUGUUUUCCUUUUAUUUUUCUUUCCAAGUGGGAAAGGAAUGCUGCGCAGGCCCUCGUGGGCAUUUGUCUUCCAUAGGGCAACAGCUCCCUCUAUUGCCUCAAAAUCUUUCCGCUUGCUGAAGGCAAACGAACUGUAAUCAGUCUUGUGAAGUGUUUGUUACUUCCGGCGUGUUGAAAAAGCACGCACAUCAGAUCAGUCUGGAUGGGCUGCAGCGGGAUGAGGGCACAUUUGGCUUCUUGAGGUUCAUUGCACACUGACCACCAGCCACGCCCUUCCAUGUCCAAACUCUUUGCCCUGUGAGUCUGCUGCUCCUCCCAUCCAAGGUGGUGUCCAUUUGCCCUCGUCUGAAUGGGAGCUGGCUUUCUUCAGUCAAUAGCAUGCAGUGGAAGUGACUGCGUGCCAGUUGGAACCUGAGCUUUCAGAGGUCUUGGACGUUCCGUCUCUUCCACUUGGAACUCUCCCCGGCUACCAGGUGAAUAAACUGCCAGAGGGAUGAGGGAGACCACAGGAAGCUCACAUCAGUGAUCGCACCUCAGUUCGUCCUAGACCCACCGGCCCUCAGCCAACCUGGGGACUGACCACAGAGGCAUGAGGUGGCCCGGGCACGGCCGGAAGAACGACCAGCUGAGGCCAGCCCAAGUUACAAAACCAGAGACGCGUGAGCUAAAGAAGUAGUUGCUGUUUGUAGCCACUAGCUUUUGGGGUGAUGUGUUACAGAGAAAUAAAUAAUUGAUUCCAUGUUGCUGCAUAUUUUUAGACAAAAAUUUACUGAGGAACAUUAAGGGCUCCUUCAAGUUCUGAACAGUUUAUUUCUUUGCCUCUCUUCCUCCUGUUUGUGCUGGACGGUGGAACGGACGUCUGCGUUGGAAAUGGAGAGGCUCAUUCGCAGAACUUUAUUUUCCUCUGUUGGGUAGGUUUCAUCAGCAUUAU